AAUGAAGCCGGGAAACCGGUCCUUCUAACCCUUGAUUAUCUCAAUUUGUUGCUUUGGUGGGCCGCGCAAGCACCGGCUUCGGCUGGAUCGUGCCCGCCAGAGGACCACAACUCUGUAUUAAAUGCCGUCUGAGUACCAUAAAAUAGUUAAAACUUUCAACAACGGAUCUCCUGGUUCU
rnacentral:misc_RNA from 1 species